UUGGUUUAUGUUUUCUAAAGUUGAUUCUUUGUGAUAGAUACACUGCAAUUGUCUUCAAGUUUCCUUAUCAUCUCAAAUAUUAUUUCAGCUGGCCCAUAUUCUGCUUGACCAUUUCCAUCUUGGGCCUGAGGCUUAUGAAGUUCUUUGCAGGCUUACAACGGUUACUGCCUCCUUGGGAAUUUCUGAGUUUGUCAUUUUCUUCUGGAGGACUAUCCUUGCUGUCAAGCCCCCAGUAUUUCAAGUUAAUUUGAAGCAGAUAGCAGAGAAAAUCAGUAAUUUUGUGAAGGACAACAGACAACUUGCAGAAAAUAUAGCCAAUAUGGAACAGAAGGUA